rnacentral:lncRNA from 1 species
AAAUUAUGGUUAAAUAAUGUUCAAAUUCAUGGUUAAUGAAGUUUAGUUGAUGAGUGAUGAGUUAUCCAGUCCUUACAUACCUAUCAACGACUCAUUAAAUUGUGUUAACUAUGUGUGUGCGUUAACCAUUUAAAAAGUUGUCGAAUUUUAUUGUCCCAAAUUGAUGUUUAAAUAACAUUUUUGGUCUUUUAUACAUUGUUGGAGACAUGGCAUAUUUCUUGAAAGAAAUUGUUUGUACAGUAACCCCAAUUCAAAAGAAUAUAGAUGCAAAAUGCAAAAGAAAGAAUACAUGAUGUUGAUCACGGAGUUCGGAAAAUUAUGCCUACGUCUCCGACCUUAUGGCGAUUGCAAUUUCGUUCUAUUAGUUUCAAUAUUAAGAUUCCAGUGUACAACUUGUAUCU